AACUAACUAGGGUCCGCUUCAUUGGCAAGCUGCCAAUCGUGACAAGCCCAGAUCAUCAUGACCGAUCACGAUCCUCAUCACGAUUUCCCCCAGGGCCAUCAGCACUGAUCACUACUGAUCACUGAUCACUGAUGAUCAGACGUCAUUCCUCGCAACCGAACAACCAGCUGGGCAUCCACUGAUUGGACCCGAGGCAAACAUCCCCCGAAACGCCCACACGCCCACGCCCUGCCCCGGCCACCUGGCGCGCCGUCACACACAGCUCGCACCAUGGGACGACGAAAGCUGAAGGAGGGUUCCACAGCAUGAACAGAC
rnacentral:sRNA from 1 species